rnacentral:rRNA from 1 species
UGCAAGUCGAACGCUUCUUUUUCCACCGGAGCUUGCUCCACCGGAAAAAGAGGAGUGGCGAACGGGUGAGUAACACGUGGGUAACCUGCCCAUCAGAAGGGGAUAACACUUGGAAACAGGUGCUAAUACCGUAUAACAAUCGAAACCGCAUGGUUUUGAUUUGAAAGGCGCUUUCGGGUGUCGCUGAUGGAUGGACCCGCGGUGCAUUAGCUAGUUGGUGAGGUAACGGCUCACCAAGGCCACGAUGCAUAGCCGACCUGAGAGGGUGAUCGGCCACAUUGGGACUGAGACACGGCCCAAACUCCUACGGGAGGCAGCAGUAGGGAAUCUUCGGCAAUGGACGAAAGUCUGACCGAGCAACGCCGCGUGAGUGAAGAAGGUUUUCGGAUCGUAAAACUCUGUUGUUAGAGAAGAACAAGGAUGAGAGUAACUGUUCAUCCCUUGACGGUAUCUAACCAGAAAGCCACGGCUAACUACGUGCCAGCAGCCGCGGUAAUACGUAGGUGGCAAGCGUUGUCCGGAUUUAUUGGGCGUAAAGCGAGCGCAGGCGGUUUCUUAAGUCUGAUGUGAAAGCCCCCGGCUCAACCGGGGAGGGUCAUUGGAAACUGGGAGACUUGAGUGCAGAAGAGGAGAGUGGAAUUCCAUGUGUAGCGGUGAAAUGCGUAGAUAUAUGGAGGAACACCAGUGGCGAAGGCGGCUCUCUGGUCUGUAAC